rnacentral:rRNA from 1 species
GGCCUGUUGAUUAUAAUUUAAGGUUUAACCUGCCCAAUGAGUAAUUGAAUGGCUGCGGUAUUUUGACUGUACAAAGGUAGCAUAAUCAUUAGUUUUUUAAUUGAAAGCUUGUAUGAAGGGUUUAAUGAGAAAUAUACUGUCUCUAUAAAAAUUGAUUAGAAUUUUAUUUUUAAGUUAAAAAGCUUAAAUGCAAAUGGAAGACGAGAAGACCCUAUAGAGUUUAAUAUUUUAAAAUAUAAUUUUAUUUUAAGAAUAAGUGAAUUUUUUAUAUUUUAAAGUAUUUUAUUGGGGUGAUAGAAAAAUUAAACUAACUUUUUUUUACACUUACAUUUAUUUAUGAUUUUUUGAUCCUGAAUUUCAGAGUUUAAGAUUAAAUUACCUUAGGGAUAACAGCGUUAUUUUUUCUAGAGUUCUUAUCGAAUGAAAAGAUUGCGACCUCGAUGUUGGAUUAAAAUUAAUUACUGGUGUAGGUGCUAGUGGAUAUGGUCUGUUCGACCUUUAAAAUUUUACAUGAUCUGAGUUUAAACCGGUGUAAA